CGAAUGCUGACAUAAGUAACGAUAAAGCGGGUGAAAAGCCCGCUCGCCGGAAGACCAAGGGUUCCUGUCCAACGUUAAUCGGGGCAGGGUGAGUCGACCCCUAAGGCGAGGCCGAAAGGCGUAGUCGAUGGGAAACAGGUUAAUAUUCCUGUACUUGGUGUUACUGCGAAGGGGGGACGGAGAAGGCUAUGUUGGCCGGGCGACGGUUGUCCCGGUUUAAGCGUGUAGGCUGGUUUUCCAGGCAAAUCCGGAAAAUCAAGGCUGAGGCGUGAUGACGAGGCACUACGGUGCUGAAGCAACAAAUGCCCUGCUUCCAGGAAAAGCCUCUAAGCAUCAGGUAACAUCAAAUCGUACCCCAAACCGACACAGGUGGUCAGGUAGAGAAUACCAAGGCGCUUGAGAGAACUCGGGUGAAGGAACUAGGCAAAAUGGUGCCGUAACUUCGGGAGAAGGCACGCUGAUAUGUAGGUGAAGUCCCUCGCGGAUGGAGCUGAAAUCAGUCGAAGAUACCAGCUGGCUGCAACUGUUUAUUAAAAACACAGCACUGUGCAAACACGAAAGUGGACGUAUACGGUGUGACGCCUGCCCGGUGCCGGAAGGUUAAUUGAUGGG
rnacentral:rRNA from 1 species